rnacentral:rRNA from 1 species
GACGAACGCUGGCGGCGUGCCUAAUACAUGCAAGUAGAACGCACAGUCUAUACCGUAGCUUGCUACACCAUAGCCGGUGAGUUGCGAACGGGUGAGUAACGCGCAGGUAACCUGCCUGGUAGCGGGGGAUAACUAUUGGAAACGAUAGCUAAUAUCGCAUAAUAUUAAUUAUUGCAUGAUAAUUAAUUGAAUGGUGCAAUUGUACCGCUACAAGAUCGCCCUGCGUUGUAUUAGCUAGUAGGAGAGGUAACGGCUCACCUAGGCGACGAUACAUAGCCGACCUGAGAGGGUGAUCGGCCACACUGGGGCUGGGACACGGCCCAGACUCCUUCGGGGAGGAGCAGUAGGGAAACUUCGGCAAUGGGCGGAAGGCUGAACGAGCAACGCCGCGGGGGGGGAGGAGGUUUUCGGAUCGUAAAGCUCCGUUGUAAGGGAAGGAAGAGUGUGGGAGUGGAAAGUGCACACUGUGACGGUAUCUUACCAGAAAGGGACGGCUAACUACGUG